CCCUCUUCACCCUCUUUCAUUCAGCAGGUUUUUUACUAUUUAUCUUUUUUACAUAUUUAUUUAGUAUUUAGAGCUAGCAUGAAACAAGGGUUCCUUUUAUCUGGUGCUUUCUUUAAUCUUCUCAUCGGAAAGAUCUUACUCCAAACCUUAAAUCCAUAACAACGGAAAAAUCACAGUUGUCAAUUGGGGUUUUCUUUAUUUAUACACUAUUUUUUUUCUUCUUUUCUUCCUUCCUCUCAGAAAAUUUGGAAAACAAAAAGAAAGGAGAACAAUUUAUGAAAAGUUAUAGGUUUAUUGAUCUAUACUUCCAUAAGUUGCCACAUGGCCACAAGGAAGAAGAUCUAUACUUCUAUUCUUCAUCAUUUUUCUUGUUCUUAUUUGUUUUCUUCUUUUUUUUUUAUCGGAGAAAUAAAUUUUAAUAAACCCAGUCAUACAAAUUAUGAAUAGGACCACAACUGAAUUACAUAACAGUAUCUUUCUUGUUCUUAAUCUUCUUAGUACUCCUAUCAGGGGUGGAUGGAGGUAGAGGACAGCAUAGGCACUUGCCUAGCUAUAUUCACUUUUUUUUUUACAGGUAAACUGAAGAGAAUUUAUAAGUUAGUAAACUUAAGAGGACAGAUUAAUAAAAGUUAAACUUAGAGGGG
rnacentral:lncRNA from 1 species